UACGUAGGGGGCAAGCGUUGUCCGGAAUCAUUGGGCGUAAAGCGCGCGUAGGCGGCCCGGUAAGUCCGCUGUAAAAGUCCAGGGCUCAACCCUGGAAAGCCGGUGGAUACUGUCGGGCUAGAGUCCGGAAGAGGCGAGUGGAAUUCCUGGUGUAGCGGUGGAAUGCGCAGAUAUCAGGAGGAACACCGGUGGCGAAGGCGGAUCUCUGGGCCUUACCUGACGCUGAGGCGCGAAAGCUAGGGGAGCAAACAGG
rnacentral:rRNA from 1 species